AUUGAACGCUGGCGGAAUGCUUUACACAUGCAAGUCGAACGGUAGAGGGGGGCAACCCCCUUGAGAGUGGCGAACGGGUGAGUAAUAUAUCGGAACGUGCCCAGUCGUGGGGGAUAACGUAGCGAAAGUUACGCUAAUACCGCAUACGAUCUACGGAUGAAAGCGGGGGAUCGCAAGACCUCGCGCGAUUGGAGCGGCCGAUAUCAGAUUAGGUAGUUGGUGAGGUAAAGGCUCACCAAGCCGACGAUCUGUAGCUGGUCUGAGAGGACGACCAGCCACACUGGGACUGAGACACGGCCCAGACUCCUACGGGAGGCAGCAGUGGGAAUUUUGGACAAUGGGCGCAAGCCUGAUCCAGCAAUGCCGCGUGCAGGAUGAAGG
rnacentral:rRNA from 1 species